AGCUGUGGUGAAUGUGUGUGUGGGUUUUUUUUUUUUUCCAGGCACAGAACGGACAAAUAAAGAACAGUUAUAGGGGAGGUCCAGGCUAGGAUGAUACAAUUUUAGGUCCCCUUCAAAAACGAUUUUAGUUUCUUUCUUCUGCGUCUGUACUUUCCUCCUGACUUCCCCUCCCCUUCCUUUGUUAAUGAAAUUCCUAUCUAAGAGUUGAAACAUUCCCCAUGAAAGCUCAAAUAAAAAGCCAGUGUGUGAGCCAGGCUGUGGGAAGAUGCACUCUAAACGUGAGAAGUGUUCCGUGGUUCCUGUGAUCGUCAGUGGAAACGUUUCUGAGGGUGAGGGUUGACUAGAGAACACUGGUAAAAGAUAACCAGUCCUGUUAUUUUGCUGGACACACUCAUACUGCCAUACUGGAAGUUAAGAUACUGAAAUCUCUGGAUGAAUUAUUUAAAGCCACUGUCCUCCUGAGGACCUACCACAGGCACUGAACUCUGCACCUCCCCUGGGACCUCCCCCUUAUUCACCUUCUCCAGGAUCCAGCAACCAAAGGGGCCCUAAAGGACCAACUCCAAACUAUGACCAGUUGCCAUUCUCUCAUAGUCUUCCCUGGUAGAAGUAACACUUGGCAGCAAAGAAGAAAGAGAAGAGGCCAUCUGGUCCAGUACGGGUCUGAGGUGAUAAGGACUUCAUCUGGUUUUACCUCAGCAGUGAACAUUUGAGGAGAGAGAAAGCAAAGACCCUGCAGGAAUCACCGGAAGUCCACCAGAAACUCGAGAACUUGGCUUUUGAAGGAACAACAAAUACCUGACACUUCUCUGGGAGGAAGGAUCAGAUUCUGACUAGUGGUGGGCCAAUACAGAAGAGAGUGAGAAGGAGGAAAAGGCUCUGGAAACUAGCUGGCAUAACCAAGUACUUCCUAACAUGAAAUCUUUUGCCUUUUGUAUGAAACCAAAGAAGCACAAUAUUUGGCCCCCUUCAGAUUAAAGAUGUUCUAUUGAUUUACUUAUCAGAGAGCCCCUCAAACAUUUAUAUUGGCAAUGAUUAGGCUAGAAACUGACCCCACCCUGCCCGCUUCAGGGGUAGGGGUUCAGAUUCUCCGUGAACAGUUGAUGCGCAGUGGAGGUUUGCCUGAACAGGAUUGCAGAUUCAUGGAGCCCUGGUUGCUGCGUUCUGGAAGGUAGGAGGAAAUGGGGGCCUGUGCAUGUGGGCUGGUACUACACAGCUUUGCCACUUCAUUAUCUGUCUGAGCUGCCAGACUCUUGGAAAAGUUCCUUUCAUUUCUUCAAUUUUAUUCAGUGCCAGGUUGGGAGGCCUGGAGAGGGGUCAGGGACCCAACCAUUGUGUUAACCAGAGCAGUACCAAGUGACAA